CACUCAAAUCGGUCGUCCUAGUGGCCAAGUUACAGAGUUUUGGCUGUCUGAUAAAGAUCAAAAAUGCGCACAUGCAUAUGUAUUGCGGAAUUGUGAUUACUUUCGUCCCCUAGAGAGUGUGUUGGACGAUCAAAUUCGGUAUGAAUAUCCAGAACUCACUGAUGAUGAAGUCACAUCGAAAAGAGAUGAAGAUUUUAGCGAUUGGGUUUGCCAAUAUGUGUCUACAAUGAAACAUAUCCAAAGUUUUCCUCCAUGGGUUCAUGAAUUGGUUGAUGGUCCAGAAAACAAAGUCAAGUCGUGGCCCAUGUAUUUUACCAGAGGUUACAUGUUUCACACGCGUGAACACGGGCAGACGAAAAAGACAAUGAAUUAUGGGGUAUGUGUCCGAGGGCAAAAUUAUUCUGAAGCAUCUAUGGAGGAUGAUUUUUUUGGGACCGUUGAAAACAUAAUCGAGCUCGAGUAUCCUGGCAUUAUUAACCUAAAGAUAACACUUUU